rnacentral:rRNA from 1 species
AGGUGUACCGGUAAGGAGCGCUGGAGCGAAUGCAAGUGAGCAUGCAGGCAUGAGUAGCGAUAAUUGGGGUGAGAAUCCCCAACGCCGUAAACCCAAGGUUUCCUACGCGAUGCUCGUCAUCGUAGGGUUAGUCGGGUCCUAAGCAAAGUCCGAAAGGGGUAUGCGAUGGAAAAUCGGUUAAUAUUCCGAUACCGAUAUCAGUGUGCGACGGAAGGACGCUUAAAGUUAGUGGAGCUAGCGGAUGGAAGUGCUAGUCUAAGGAAGUAGGUUGAGUUAUAGGCAAAUCCGUAACUCUUUAUCCGAGAUCUGAAAGGCUUCUGACGCUCUUCGGAGUAGAUGAAGAAUCCAUGAUACUAUCGAGCCGAGAAAAGUUUCUAAGUUUAGCUGAUAUCGCCCGUACCGUAAACCGACACAGGUGGGUGGGAUGAGUAUUCUAAGGCGCGUGGAAGAACUCUCUUUAAGGAACUCUGCAAAAUAGCACCGUAUCUUCGGUAUAAGGUGUGCCUAGCUUCGUUAAGAAUUUACUUCGUAAGCGAAGAAGGUUACAACAAAGAGUCCCUCCCGACUGUUUACCAAAAACACAGCACUCUGCUAACUCGUAAGAGGAUGUAUAGGGUGUGACGCCUGCCCGGUGCUCGAAGGUUAAUUGAUGACGUUAGCUCUGCGAAGCGUUUGAUCGAAGCCCGAGUAAACGGCGGCCGUAACUAUAACGGUCCUAAGGUAGCGAAAUUCCUUGUCGGUUAAAUACCGACCUGCAUGAAUGGCGUAACGAGAUGGGAGCUGUCUCAAAGAGGGAUCCAGUGAAAUUGUAGUGGAGGUGAAAAUUCCUCCUACCCGCGGCAAGACGGAAAGACCCCGUGGACCUUUACUAUAGCUUGACACUGCUACUUGGAUAAAGAUGCGCAGGAUAGGUGGGAGGCUUUGAGUCGUAGAUCUUGGUUUACGAUGAGCCAUUGUUGAGAUACCACUCUUCUUUAUUCGGGUAGCUAACUAGCCUAAGUUAUCCUUAGGUAGGACAAUGUCUGGUGGGUAGUUUGACUGGGGCGGUCGCCUCCCAAAAUGUAACGGAGGCUUACAAAGGUUGGCUCAAAGCGGUUGGAAAUCGCUUGUAGAGUAUAAAGGCAAAAGCCAGCUUAACUGCGAGACAUACACGUCGAGCAGAGACGAAAGUCGGUCUUAGUGAUCCGGUGGUUCUGAGUGGAAGGGCCAUCGCUCAAAGGAUAAAAGGUACCCCGGGGAUAACAGGCUGAUCUCCCCCAAGAGCUCACAUCGACGGGGAGGUUUGGCACCUCGAUGUCGGCUCAUCGCAUCCUGGGGCUGUAGUCGGUCCCAAGGGUUGGGCUGUUCGCCCAUUAAAGCGGUACGCGAGCUGGGUUCAGAACGUCGUGAGACAGUUCGGUCCCUAUCUGCCGUGGGCGUAAGAAGAUUGAGGAGAGUUGACCCUAGUACGAGAGGACCGGGUUGAACCGACCACUGGUGUACCGGUUGUUCUGCCAAGAGCACCGCCGGGUAGCUAAGUCGGGAUGUGAUAAGAGCUGAAAGCAUCUAAGCUCGAAGCCGACUCCAAGAUGAAUCUUCUUUUAAGAGCUCUAGUAGACUACUAGUUUGAUAGGCCGGAUGUGUAAUGGAUGAAAGUCCUUUAGCUGACCGGUACUAAUAGCUCGUUUGCUUAUCUU